UGGGAUGUGGCUCAGCAGUAGAGUGCUUGUCUAUCACAUGUGAGGCCCUGGGUUCGAUCCUCAGCACCACAU
rnacentral:tRNA from 1 species